CUGCUGUUGUUGCUUCUACUACUACUGCUGCUGCCGCUUCUGCCCAGACCCGGAUGGAAAUAGUUUGGUCAUCAAUGCAAUCGCUGCCUUUUCACCUUAAUCGACUGGAUGUGAAAGGAAACCCGAAAAAGGACGGACCGACGACACGCAACUCCGCGAUGAUGAUGAUCUGUUUCGCACAUGAUCGAUGUACACAUACUGGAAACG